CUACGGGGUGCAGCAGUGGGGAAUAUUGCACAAUGGGGGGAACCCUGAUGCAGCAACGCCGCGUGGAGGAUGACACAUUUCGGUGCGUAAACUCCUUUUAUAUAAGAAGAUAAUGACGGUAUUAUAUGAAUAAGCACCGGCUAACUCCGUGCCAGCAGCCGCGGUAAUACGGGGGGUGCAAGCGUUACUCGGAAUCACUGGGCGUAAAGAGCAUGUAGGCGGGUAGAAAAGUUGGAAGUGAAAUCCUAUGGCUUAACCAUAGAACUGCUUCCAAAACUCUUUACCUAGAAUAUGGGAGAGGUAGAUGGAAUCUCUGGUGUAGGGGUAAAAUCCGUAGAGAUCAGAAGGAAUACCGAUUGCGAAGGCGAUCUACUGGAACAUUAUUGACGCUCAGAUGCGAAAGCGUGGGGAGCAAACAGGAUUAGAUACCCUCGUAGUC
rnacentral:rRNA from 1 species